rnacentral:rRNA from 1 species
AUUGAACGCUGGCGGCAUGCCUUACACAUGCAAGUCGAACGCGAAAAGGGGGCAACUCCUGAGUAGAGUGGCGAACGGGUGAGUAAUACAUCGGAACGUGUCCAGUAGCGGGGGAUAACCUCUCGAAAGAGAGGCUAAUACCGCAUACGACCUACGGGUGAAAGAGGGGGAUCGAAAGACCUCUCACUAUUGGAGCGGCCGAUGUCGGAUUAGCUAGUUGGCGGGGUAAAGGCCCACCAAGGCUACGAUCCGUAGCUGGUCUGAGAGGACGACCAGCCACACUGGAACUGAGACACGGUCCAGACUCCUACGGGAGGCAGCAGUGGGGAAUUUUGGACAAUGGGCGAAAGCCUGAUCCAGCCAUGCCGCGUGAGUGAAGAAGGCCUUCGGGUUGUAAAGCUCUUUCGGCGGGGACGAAAAGGUCCGUGCUAACACCAUGGAUCCAUGACGGUACCCGCAGAAGGAGCACCGGCUAACUACGUGCCAGCAGCCGCAGUAAUAAAC